rnacentral:misc_RNA from 1 species
GGAAUUCGAACGGCUGGGGAAAUUACCGACUCACCAUUCGUCGCUCAAAUUCGACUUGCUGCGAACGGAAGUCUGAUCUGUAGCGGUGCGAUUUUUAAUCAUCUUUACAUUCUAACCACAGCGAGCUGCAUCGAAGGGUUUGUAAAUCAUAUCUAUUUGAAUUUUUACAAAUUUUUUUUUUUUUUUUCAAAUGUCUUGUAUAUUGUACCAAAUUAGCGUUAUCAACCGAUGAGCUUCUCGCGUCCGGAGAACAUCGAUCAUUGUGCAUAGACACACG